UACAGAGGUCCCGAGCGUUGUUCGGAUUCACUGGGCGUAAAGGGUGCGUAGGUGGUGAGGUAAGUCGGAUGUGAAAUCUCCGGGCUCAACCCGGAAAUGGCAUUGGAAACUACCUUGCUAGAGGAUUUGAGGGGGGAUUGGAAUACUUGGUGUAGCAGUGAAAUGCGUAGAUAUCAAGUGGAACACCAGUGGCGAAGGCGAAUCCCUGGAAAAUACCUGACACUGAGGAACGAAAGCUAGGGGAGCAAACAGG
rnacentral:rRNA from 1 species